GUUAAGGUGGCAGAGCCCGGUAAUUGCAAAAGACCUAAACCCUUUCUACAGAGGUUCAAAUCCUCUCCUUAUCU
rnacentral:tRNA from 1 species